GGGGUUGUGAUAAUUGGUUCAUCAGGUCGGAUUACUGACUACUUGACUGGGGGUCAAGGGGUCGGAGGUUCAAAUCCUCUCGUCCCGACCA
rnacentral:tRNA from 1 species